ensembl:lncRNA
GGGAGACAAGCACAGAGGACUGGAGUAUCACUGGCUGAAGCAGGUUGAAUUCUUGAUGAAGAAAUCACUGGCAAAGCAUAUGACACUACUAGAUGGGAAAACUGAUAAUCAAAACAAAAUGAUGAAAUUAAUCUCACAAAAUGGAUUCAGGAGGACUCCUGAGUCACAGUACAGGAAGUACAGGAAGUCUAUCAGAUACAAAUGGAGGAAGACAUCCGAGCAGCACUCUCUUCUCAGAGACACAUUUGGAAAUGCUAAGCUAGCACACACAAUAAAGGCACACGCGCACACACCCAAACGCACAAACACACACAAUAUCAGCCGAGAGAGCAGUGAAGGGAGAGUAAUAAAUGGAGAGUAGUAAAGACAGAGUAGUAAAGAGAGAGUAGUAAAGAGAGAGUAGUAAAGGGAGAGUAGUAAAGAGAGAGUAGUAAAAGGAGAGUAGUAAAGAGCGAGUAGUAAAAGGAGAGUAGUAAACAGAGAGUAGUAAAGAGAGAGUAGUAAAGACAGAGUAGUAAACGGAGAGUAGUAAAGAGAGAGUAGUAAAAGGAGAGUAGUAAAGAGAGAGUAGUAAAAGGAGAGUAGUAAAGAGAGAGUAGUAAAGACAGAGUAGUAAAAGGAGAGUAGUAAAGGGAGAGUAGUAAAAGGAGAGUAGUGAAGAUAGAGUAGUAAAGAGAGAGUAGUGAAGAUAGAGUAGUAAAGAGAGAGUAGUAAAGAGAGAGUAGUAAAGGGAGAGUUGUAAAGAGAGUAUAGUAAAGGGAGAGUAGUGAAGAGAGAGUAGUAAAAGGAGAGUAGUAAAGGGAGAGUAGUAGAGAGAGAGUAGUAAAGAGAGAGUAGUAAAGGGAGAGUAGUGAAGAGAGAGUAGUAAAAGGAGAGUAGUAAAGAGAGAGUAGUAAACGGAGAGUAGUAAAGAGAGAGUAGUAAAGAGAGAGUAGUAAAAGGAGAGUAGUAAAGAGAGAGUAGUAAAGAGAGAGUAGUAAAGAGAGAGUAGUAAAGGGAGAGUAGUAAAGAGAGUAGUAAAGGGAGAGUUGUAAAGAGAGAGUAGUAAAAGGAGAGUAGUAAAGAGAGAGUAGUGAAGAUAGAGUAGUGAAUAUAGAGUUGUGAAGAUAGAGUAGUAAAAGGAGAGUAGUAAAGGGAGAGUAGUAAAGAGAGAGUAGUGAAGAUAGAGUAGUAAAAGGAGAGUAGUAAAAGGAGAUCAGUAAAGAGAGAGUAGUAAAGAGAGACUUAGUAAAGAGAGAGUAGUAAAGAGAGAGUAGUAAAGGGAGAGUAGUAAAGAGAGAGUAGUAAAGGGAGAGUAGUAAAGAGAGAGUUGUAAAGGGAGAGUUAUAAAGAGAGAGUAGUAAAGAGAGAGUAGUAAAGGGAGAGUAGUGAAGCGAGAGUAGUGAAGAUAGAGCAGUAGAAGGAGAGUAGUAAAGAGAGAGUAGUAAAGGGAGAGUUGUAACGAGAGAGUAGUAAAGGGAGAGUAGUAAAGAGAGAGUAGUAAAUGGAGAGUAGUAAAGAGAGAGUAGUGAAGAGAGAGUAGUGAAGAUAGAGUAGUGAAUAUAGAGUAGUGAAGAUAGAGUAGUAAAAGGAGAGUAGUAAAGGGAGAGUAGUAAAGAGAGAGUAGUAAAGAGAGAGUAGUAAAGGGAGAGUAGUAAAGAGAGAGUAGUAAAGGGAGAGUAGUGAAGCGAGAGUAGUGAAGAGAGAGUAGUGAAGAUAGAGUAGUAAAAGGAGAGUAGUAAAGGGAGAGUAGUAAAGAGAGAGUAGUAAAAUGAGAGUAGUAGAGAGAGUAGUCAAGAGAGAGUAGUAAAGGGAGAGUAGUAAAGGGAGAGUAGUAAAGAGAGAGUAGUGAAGAGAGAGUAGUAAAGGGAGAGUAGUAAAGGGAGAGUAGUAAAGAGAGAGUAGUAAAGAGAAAGGGAGAGUAAAGGGAGAGUAGUGAAGAAAGAAAGAAAGAUAGAAGGAAAGAAAGACAGAAAAAUAGAAGGAAAGAGAGAAUGAAAGCAAUAGUUCAUGUGGGAACGAGGAAUGAGCCAAAUCUAAGACAAUCCACUCAUUCUUAUGGUGUGAAGCCUUAACAGACAGGAAGCAGCAAUGAACCAUGGGAGAUCUAGAGCAGCACUGGAAUGACCGUAGUAGAGGAUAUGUGAAAGACAAGUUCAGAUACAGUAUCUGUGUCACUCUGGUCUAAUACAGGAAAGACAGAGUGAAAACAUGUUUCCUUCUGAAACUGACUAUACAGAUCCCUCAGAGGCACUAGCUAGGUUUCCAUCCAAUCGGCCACAGAUUUUCACAAGAACAUUCUAAUAUCUACAUAAAAAUAAUAGGAGCAUUUUCCUACUGUUUCCUACUGUUUCCUACUGUUUCAUUCAACUGUACUUGUUGUGGCUGUGUGUGAUGACAUAGUGAACAUAAUUAAUUAAUUACUUUUUUUAGGGGGUAGAUCAGCUUUAAUAGUGCAGAUAGAUUUUAGUUUCCAUCAAUGUAAUUGUCUGCAUCAUUUCCAAACCCCCAUAUAUUUUUUUUUUGUACAUUUAAACAGCACCAGUCAAACGUUUGGACACACCUACUCAUUCAAGGGUUUUUCUUUAUUUUUACUGUUUUCUACAUUGUAGAAUAAUAGUGAAGACUAUGAACACUAUGAAAUAACACAUGUGAAAACAUGUAGUCACCAAAAGUGCUUGAGAUUCUUCAUAGUAGCUACCCCAUUGCCUUGAUGACAGCUUUGCACACUCUUGGCAUUCUCUCAACCAGCUUUAUGAGGUGUGCCCCGUUAAAAGUUAAUGAAAGAGGAUGAGGGUGAAGAUUCCGAGAGUGUGGUCAAAUAAUUCCUGGUUAAACAAGUUAAACAAUUUAAAGGCAAUGCUACCAAAUACUAAUUGAGUCUAUGUAAACUUCUGACCCACUGGGAAUGUGAUGAAUGAUAUUAAGCUGAAAUAAAUCACUCUCCUUACUAUUAUUCUGGGGCGGCAGGGUAGCCUAGUGGUUAAGGUGUUGGACUAGUGACUGGAAGGUGACUGGAAGGUUGCAAGUUCAAACCCCUUUUAUUCUUAAAAUAAAGUGGUGAUCCUAACUGACCUAAGACAGGGAAUUGUUACUAGGAUUAAAUGUCAGGAAUUGUGAAAAACUGAGUUUAAAUGUAUUUGGCUAAGGUGAAUGUAAACUUCAACUGUAUGCACACACACACAGUAAAAAUCCUUUCCUUUAUCCAAUAGCAGAAUGAGAAGAGUACAGGAGCUGAUUCUGCCAGCAGUUUCUAUCAGCCCGUACUGCAUGGCUGACUGACCCUAAUAAUCCUGGAUGUCGAGAGGCUACAGUACUUGUGGUGUCAUUGUGCAGAGAGAUUGUGUGUGUGCGUGCGUGCGUGUCUAAACAGGGAGUGGAGUAGAACUACACAGUCAUCUCUCACUGACUGAGACAGAAAAGAGGCUAAAUUACAUCAUGGUGCAGUGUGGCUGUACUGGGAACACUAAACAGCUGAAUGACAUCAUGGUGCAGUGUGGCUGUGUUAGAAACACUAAACAGCUGAAUGACAUCAUGGUGCAGUGUGGCUGUGUUAGAAACACUAAACAGCUGAAUGACAUCAUCAAAUCAAAU